UUCAAUAAAAAAAAAAUACAAAAUAUGCUUCUGAGUGACUGAAUUACUAUUUUAAUUUCAUGCUAAUUGAAAGCAAUUACGCUAUCAAAUUUCAUGUUCAUUAUUAAUAAAAUUAAAGAAUUAUUAAAAGUCUGAAGUAGCUCAGCAGUACUAUGUGGUUAUAUUAAAUUCAAGCAAAAAUUAUCUUGGAUUAUUAGAAGCAAUCAAACGUUAAUUUAGCUAUUUCACAAAAUAAAUUUGGCAAAAAUGUUAUUAGCUUAGUUCUAAUGGAAAGUGUUAAGCGCUGUUAAUUGUUUUCUUGCAAUGAUGUAACUUUCGAUUAAAUGUCUUAAUUUUUAGAUCAGGAAAUCUAAUUUGCUGUUUCUUAAUUAGAUCCUUUUUAGUGCAUUUGGCUUGUGAUUGGAUAAUAUCUACGUACAAAUGUUGAGCACAAUUUAGCUUUAUGAUUCACUAAAUCAAAAGGUGACAAUUGGAAGGAAGGUUUUAAACUACACAAUAGGAGGCGGUGAUAUUAUCUAAGGGCAGCAAAAACGUGGAAUUUGUUUUCAUUUGGACUGAUUGUAUCUUGGAACGUUCUGGUUGAAUAAAGCGAAAGUGUUCUAAAUACGGAAAUGAAACUAAAAUAGGGCAUAUUUCAACAAAGCCUUUAUUUAUAGUCCUUCUCGUUGUGUUUAUUAAACAAAAGCGUGUAGUUCAGUUCAUAUUUCAGAGGGAGGAU